rnacentral:rRNA from 1 species
UUAUAUGAGAGUUUGAUCCUGGCUCAGGAUGAACGCUGGCGGCGUGCCUAAUACAUGCAAGUCGAACGAGUUCUGAUUAUUGAAGGGUGCUUGCAUCUUGAUUUAAUUUUGAACGAGUGGCGGACGGGUGAGUAACACGUGGGUAACCUGCCCUUAAGUGGGGGAUAACAUUUGGAAACAGAUGCUAAUACCGCAUAAAUCCAAGAACCGCAUGGUUCUUGGCUGAAAGAUGGCGUAAGCUAUCGCUUUUGGAUGGACCCGCGGCGUAUUAGCUAGUUGGUGAGGUAACGGCUCACCAAGGCAAUGAUACGUAGCCGAACUGAGAGGUUGAUCGGCCACAUUGGGACUGAGACACGGCCCAAACUCCUACGGGAGGCAGCAGUAGGGAAUCUUCCACAAUGGACGCAAGUCUGAUGGAGCAACGCCGCGUGAGUGAAGAAGGCUUUCGGGUCGUAAAACUCUGUUGUUGGAGAAGAAUGGUCGGCAGAGUAACUGUUGUCGGCGUGACGGUAUCCAACCAGAAAGCCACGGCUAACUACGUGCCAGCAGCCGCGGUAAUACGUAGGUGGCAAGCGUUAUCCGGAUUUAUUGGGCGUAAAGCGAGCGCAGGCGGUUUUUUAAGUCUGAUGUGAAAGCCCUCGGCUUAACCGAGGAAGUGCAUCGGAAACUGGGAAACUUGAGUGCAGAAGAGGACAGUGGAACUCCAUGUGUAGCGGUGAAAUGCGUAGAUAUAUGGAAGAACACCAGUGGCGAAGGCGGCUGUCUGGUCUGUAACUGACGCUGAGGCUCGAAAGCAUGGGUAGCGAACAGGAUUAGAUACCCUGGUAGUCCAUGCCGUAAACGAUGAAUGCUAGGUGUUGGAGGGUUUCCGCCCUUCAGUGCCGCAGCUAACGCAUUAAGCAUUCCGCCUGGGGAGUACGACCGCAAGGUUGAAACUCAAAGGAAUUGACGGGGGCCCGCACAAGCGGUGGAGCAUGUGGUUUAAUUCGAAGCAACGCGAAGAACCUUACCAGGUCUUGACAUCUUUUGAUCACCUGAGAGAUCAGGUUUCCCCUUCGGGGCAAAAUGACAGGUGGUGCAUGGUUGUCGUCAGCUCGUGUCGUGAGAUGUUGGGUUAAGUCCCGCAACGAGCGCAACCCUUAUGACUAGUUGCCAGCAUUUAGUUGGGCACUCUAGUAAGACUGCCGGUGACAAACCGGAGGAAGGUGGGGAUGACGUCAAAUCAUCAUGCCCCUUAUGACCUGGGCUACACACGUGCUACAAUGGAUGGUACAACGAGUUGCGAGACCGCGAGGUCAAGCUAAUCUCUUAAAGCCAUUCUCAGUUCGGACUGUAGGCUGCAACUCGCCUACACGAAGUCGGAAUCGCUAGUAAUCGCGGAUCAGCACGCCGCGGUGAAUACGUUCCCGGGCCUUGUACACACCGCCCGUCACACCAUGAGAGUUUGUAACACCCGAAGCCGGUGGCGUAACCCUUUUAGGGAGCGAGCCGUCUAAGGUGGGACAAAUGAUUAGGGUGAAGUCGUAACAAGGUAGCCGUAGGAGAACCUGCGGCUGGAUCACCUCCUUU